UAAAAAUGGAUAUAAUUAUAUCUAAUAUUUAAGUCGAAAUUAAAAUUUCAUUUUU
rnacentral:tRNA from 1 species